rnacentral:rRNA from 1 species
GUUUCCGUAGUGAACCUGCGGAGGAUCAUUACAGUAGUCACCCGGGUUGCCGCAAGGCCUCUCGGGUAACCUACCACCCUUUGUUUAUUACACUUUGUUGCUUUGGCAGGCCUGCCUUCGGGCUGCUGGCUCCGGCCGGCGAGCGCUUGCCAGAGGAUCUAAACUCUGUUUGUCUAUACUGUCUGAGUACUAUAUAAUAGUUAAAACUUUCAACAACGGAUCUCUUGGUUCUGGCAUCGAUGAAGAACGCAGCGAAAUGCGAUAAGUAAUGUGAAUUGCAGAAUUCAGUGAAUCAUCGAAUCUUUGAACGCACAUUGCGCCCCCUGGUAUUCCGGGGGGCAUGCCUGUCCGAGCGUCAUUACAACCCUCAAGCUCUGCUUGGUGUUGGGCCCCGCCGCCCCGGCGGGCCCUAAAGUCAGUGGCGGUGCCAUCCGGCUCCGAGCGUAGUAAUUCUUCUCGCUCUGGAGGUCCGGUUGUGUGCUUGCCAUCAACCCCCAAUUUUUUUCAGGUUGACCUCGGAUCAGGUAGGGAUACCCGCUGAACUUAAGCAUAUCAAUAAGC